rnacentral:pre_miRNA from 13 species
GCGGGGAGGUAGAACAUCCUGCAUAGUGCUGCCAGGAAAUCCCUAUUUCAUACUAAAGGGGGCUGGCUGGUUGCAUAUGUAGGAUGUCCCAUCUCCCAGCUCCCUUCGUCA